rnacentral:rRNA from 1 species
CCUACGGGUGGCAGCAGUGAGGAAUAUUGGUCAAUGGGCGGAAGCCUGAACCAGCCAAGUCGCGUGAGGGAGUAAGGCCCUACGGGUCGUAAACCUCUUUUGCCGGGGAGCAGUGCCCAGCUCGUGAGCUGGGAGGGAGCGUACCCGGAGAAAAAGCAUCGGCUAACUCCGUGCCAGCAGCCGCGGUAAUACGGAGGAUGCGAGCGUUAUCCGGAUUUAUUGGGUUUAAAGGGUGCGCAGGCGGGCUGUUAAGCCGGCGGUAAAAAUUCAGGGCUCAACCCUGUCGAGCCGUCGGAACUGGCAGUCUUGAGUGGGCGAGAAGUAUGCGGAAUGCGUGGUGUAGCGGUGAAAUGCAUAGAUAUGACGAAGAACCCCGAUUGCGAAGGCAGCUUGCUGCAGCGGAACUGACGCUGAUGCUCGAAAGCGCGGGUAUCGAACAGGAUUAGAUACCCUAGUAGUC